CAUACCAGGCAUGCUGAACAGAAAACUGCACACCGGUCAACGUAAAACGUGUGUGAGCGUGUGUGAAAACAUGCAGAAACAAACUAUUUCACCAAAAAAAUCACUCAGUGAUGUCACUAUGAAACUUCACCAUCUGAAUUGCCGACAGUUUGUGUUUGUUUACUACGUUUGGUUGGUGAAACAAAGUCAUGUGGUAGAGCCUUAGCAGAAGUUUCUCUCUCUGUCAAAAUGAAACAUUAAAAUUGAUGCGUAAAAUACCAAAGAGGUACAAAGAAAAGUAACAGGCUCAUUGCAGCCUAAUGUAGUGGAGUAAGAGUACAGUUUCUUCUUCACAAAUCUACUCAAGUAAAAGUAAAAAGUCUAGUGAUUUAAAACUACCCCUAGAAGUAUAAUCUUUUCAAAAACUUACUCAAGUAAAUGUAACGGAAUAAAUGUAACCUGUUACUACCCACCUCUGGAUAUACUGUAUACAGUUUUUAAAUUAUAUUUGAAUUUAAUCUAGUGUUUAAUUUGAACAAAUUUCCACAACUGUGUAACAAGAGACUCUUUUUGUGACAUUUAGAUUUUUUGACACAGAACGCUGGUCUUAGAUAACAAUUCUUUUCCUAUGGAAAGCAGUACUCCUUAUUUUUAUAGUUGUAGACUUGUUUUUCACAUUAAUCUGACACUGAGGAACAGUCCUUCUCUUUAUUUGCCAAGAAAAUACAUUCAAAUAGUCAUAGUGCACUUCUCCUAAUAAGGAAAGGUAUAAGAAUCCUGAUCUGACCUUCUUCUGUAACACAUCAGGUCUUCCUUUAUGAUUACAAUACUAUGGAGCUCCUUUGUAGACCCAUCAUUUUUAAAUCAUUAUGAUGCCUCUACAUUCCCACCUGGUUUCCCAGUGGGUUGGAUUUUAUCUCACUGCCGUAAAAUUGCUGCCUCCUAGUUAUCAAAAGAGACAGUGAUGAUUUUAUAAAGCAGCCAUAAUCAUAUUUUACAUGCUGAAUGUUGGAUCUGAUUAUUGGCACAUGGCUAUUCAACACUUAAGUAACCUGAUGAACUCCUUCAUUUUCUUUCUGUGCUAAAAUCUGAGGAGAAUCUUGGCAGAAUUUGGUUUUAUUGAAAUAAGGACCCUGGAGUCUGUGUGAAUGUUAAAGUAAGAUGGAAAUCAGUCUGCAUCACAUGUCAGAGUCUUUCCAGGGUUAAGAUAACAGAUGAAGUAUCCCCCUAAGGUUUUAGAGAGUUGUGUACAAGCAGUGAAGAUCUAAAACAGAGCUACUGAAGAAACAGCAGCCUUCAGAUUUUUAUAUUACAGAUUGAGAUUUUAUUUCCAUCAGCUAGCUGUCCAUCAUGAAGCUGAAUCUUUUUCUUCUUCUGCUUCUCACUGGACUGGUCCCAGUUGCUAUCCUGCAAACCGUCCUUCACAAAUAUGACCUGAUAAUGACAGGGGCGACAUGGCCUGUUGCACAGAAUUACUGCAGGGUGACUUACAAUGAUCUGGCAACAGUCGUAAGUGAUAAUGAUUGGCUAAGAUUGAAGAAAGAAACAGCAGACAAAAAUCUUGCAACAUAUGCCUUGGUCGGAUUAUACAAUGAUAUCAAUAGCUGGCGCUGGUCCUUAAACGACCUCCCACUGAAGAAUGUCACUUAUACCUGCUGGUA